rnacentral:sRNA from 1 species
GACUUCCUGGAGCUGGCGCCUGACGAGGUGGCGGCGCUGCUGGCGGACCCCGCGCUGGGCGUGGCGCGCGAGGAGGCCGUGUUUGAAGCGGCCAUGCGCUGGGUGCGCCACGACGCGCCGGCCCGCCGCGGCCAGCUGCGACGCCUGCUGGAGCACGUGCGCCUGCCGCUACUGGCGCCCGCUUACUUCCUGGAGAAGGUGGAGGCGGACGAGCUGCUGCAGGCCUGCGGCGAGUGCCGCCCGCUGCUGCUCGAGGCUCGCGCCUGCUUCAUCCUGGGCCGCGAGGCCGGUGCGCUGCGGACCCGGCCGCGGAGGCACUGGGCUUAUCCGCACGCCAGAUUCAUGGACCUAGCUGAAGUGAUCGUGGUCAUCGGCGGUUGCGACCGCAAAGGUCUCCUGAAGCUGCCCUUCGCCGAUGCCUACCAUCCAGAGAGCCAGCGGUGGACCCCACUGCCCAGCCUGCCCGGCUACACUCGCUCAGAAUUCGCCGCCUGUGCUCUCCGCAAUGACGUCUACGUCUCCGGAGGCCACAUCAACAGUCAUGAUGUGUGGAUGUUUAGCUCCCAUCUGCACACCUGGAUCAAGGUAGCCUCUCUGCACAAGGGCAGGUGGAGGCACAAGAUGGCAGUUGUGCAGGGGCAGGUAGGCACGAGCUGCAGCGGCUGCCCUGGGACACAAGGUACAGAUCUGUGGAUGUGCUGGAGGGAGGUUCUCUAAAACCCUCUCUUUGUAAGAAGGGGUCUGAAGCCCCCCAAAAAAGAAGGAGACUUGUCCAAGGUCACAUAAUAAUGGCUGAUGCUAAUAAUAAUAGCAAUUACUGUAAUAGUAACAGCCUGAUGGUCAAGGGUAUGGGCUCUGGGGCCACACAGUCUAGGUUUGAAUCUUGACUGUGCCACUCAAGAAUAAAAGAAUCUGUCGGCCGGGUGCAGUGGCUGUAAUCCCAGCACUUUGGGAGGCCAAGGCGGGCGGAUCACGAGGUCAGGAGAUCCAGACCAUCCUGGCUAACACGGUGAAACCCCGUCUCUACUAAAAAUACAAAAAAUUAGCUCGGCGUGGUGGCGGGUGCCUGUAGUCCCAGAUACUCAGGAGGCUGAGGCAGGAGAAUGGCAUGAACCUGGGAGGCGGAGCUUGCAGUGAGCCCAGAUUGCACCACUACACUCCAGCCUGGGCAACAGAGCGAGACUUUGUCUCAAAAAAAAAAAAAAAAAAAGUCAAUUAUCUUUGUAAGCUACAUCCCGAAUUCAGAAACAAAGAUGCUUCUUAGAAUCAAUUAAGUGGGGUGGUAAAGUCUCAAUACUAGCUAUUAUUAUUAAGCAUCAGCUUGGUGCCAGGUAUUUUACAGCUGUAACCAUGCAGGUUAAGGUCUCAUCCCCGCUAAAUGAGAGGAAACCGGCUCAGGGAGGUACAGCAACUGGAUGGAGGCUGCCCAGGUGGUGGCAGCACUGGGCUCGGGGGUCAGUUUGGUCCUGAAACUGGGUUGGGGACAGGGAUAGUUUCCAGCUCAAAGACUGUAAGACUGAAGCGAUGAGGCCGAGGGCCCUAAGGCCCUGGCACCCGGCUCCCCGGCCCAUGUCCUCACUUGCAGCUGUUCGCGGUGGGUGGCUUCGACGGCCUGAGGCGCCUGCACAGCGUGGAGCGCUACGACCCCUUCUCCAACACCUGGGCGGCCGUCGCGCCCCUCCCGGAGGCCGUGAGCUCGGCGGCGGUGGCGUCCUGCGCGGGCAAGCUCUUCGUGAUUGGGGGCGCCAGGCAGGGCGGCGUCAACACGGACAAGGUGCAGUGCUUUGACCCCAAGGAGGACCGGUGGAGCCUGCGGUCACCAGCACCCUUCUCACAGCGGUGUCUCGAGGCUGUCUCCCUUGAGGACACCAUCUAUGUCAUGGGGGGUCUCAUGAGCAAAAUCUUCACCUAUGAUCCAGGCACAGAUGUGUGGGGGGAGGCAGCUGUCCUCCCCAGCCCUGUGGAAAGCUGUGGAGUCACUGUGUGUGACGGGAAGGUCCACAUCCUUGGCGGGCGGGAUGAUCGCGGAGAAAGCACCGAUAAGGUCUUCACCUUUGACCCCAGCAGUGGGCAGGUGGAGGCCCAGCCAUCCCUGCAGCGCUGCACCAGCUUCCACGGCUGUGUCACCAUCAUCCAGAGCUUGGGCAGGUGAUUCAGAUUUGGACAGCCUGAGCCAGGAGGCGGAGAGGCAGGCAGAGCCCAGAUGCACACUCUGCUCCCUCAUGGCACCUCCACGCAAACAGCCCUUAACUUAAUGGUCCCUUUUCUUGUAUAAAUAAAACCUUGUUGGGUCUGUGUUCCAGCUGCAGUC